rnacentral:rRNA from 1 species
CCUACGGGCGGCAGCAGUGAGGAAUAUUGGUCAAUGGACGAGAGUCUGAACCAGCCAAGUAGCGUGAAGGAUGACUGCCCUAUGGGUUGUAAACUUCUUUUAUAUGGGAAUAAAAUGUUCCACGUGUGGGAUUUUGUAUGUACCAUAUGAAUAAGGAUCGGCUAACUCCGUGCCAGCCGCCGCGGUAAUACGGAGGAUCCGAGCGUUAUCCGGAUUUAUUGGGUUUAAAGGGAGCGUAGGUGGAUUGUUAAGUCAGUUGUGAAAGUUUGCGGCUCAACCGUAAAAUUGCAGUUGAAACUGGCAGUCUUGAGUACAGGAGAGGUGGGCGGAAUUCGUGGUGUAGCGGUGAAAUGCUUAGAUAUCACGAAGAACUCCGAUUGCGAAGGCAGCUCACUGGACUGCAACUGACACUGAGGCUCGAAAGUGUGGGUAUCAAACAGGAUUAGAUACCCUUGUAGUC